rnacentral:rRNA from 1 species
UACGUAGGGUGCGAGCGUUAAUCGGAAUUACUGGGCGUAAAGCGUGCGCAGGCGGUCUUUUAAGACCGAUGUGAAAUCCCCGGGCUUAACCUGGGAACUGCAUUGGUGACUGGCAGGCUUUGAGUGUGGCAGAGGGAGGUAGAAUUCCACGUGUAGCAGUGAAAUGCGUAGAGAUGUGGAGGAAUACCGAUGGCGAAGGCAGCCUCCUGGGCCAACACUGACGCUCAUGCACGAAAGCGUGGGGAGCAAACAGG